rnacentral:rRNA from 1 species
AUUGAACGCUGGCGGCAUGCCUUACACAUGCAAGUCGAACGGUAACGGGCCUUCGGGUGCCGACGAGUGGCGAACGGGUGAGUAAUACAUCGGAACGUGCACGAUCGUGGGGGAUAACGAGGCGAAAGCUUUGCUAAUACCGCAUACGAUCUACGGAUGAAAGCAGGGGACCGCAAGGCCUUGCGCGGACGGAGCGGCCGAUGGCAGAUUAGGUAGUUGGUGGGAUAAAAGCUUACCAAGCCGACGAUCUGUAGCUGGUCUGAGAGGAUGAUCAGCCACACUGGGACUGAGACACGGCCCAGACUCCUACGGGAGGCAGCAGUGGGGAAUUUUGGACAAUGGGCGCAAGCCUGAUCCAGCCAUGCCGCGUGCAGGAUGAAGGCCUUCGGGUUGUAAACUGCUUUUGUACGGAACGAAAGGCCUUCUUUAAUACAGGAGGGUCAUGACGGUACCGUAAGAAUAAGCACCGGCUAACUACGUG